rnacentral:rRNA from 1 species
UACAGAGGUCCCAAGCGUUGUUCGGAUUCACUGGGCGUAAAGGGUGCGUAGGUGGCGGGAUAAGUUUGAUGUGAAAUCUCCGGGCUUAACCCGGAAACUACAUUGAAUACUAUUCUGCUCGAGGGUUGGAAGGGGGACUGGAAUACUUGGUGUAGCAGUGAAAUGCGUAGAUAUCAAGUGGAACACCAGUGGCGAAGGCGAGUCCCUGGACAACUCCUGACACUGAGGCACGAAAGCUAGGGGAGCAAACAGG